rnacentral:rRNA from 1 species
CCUAUCCCCCUGUGUGCCUUUCGGGGAGCCGUAAGCAGGUGCUGCAUGGCUGUCGUCAGCUCGUGUCGUGAGAUGUUUGGGUUAAGUCCCCGCAACGAGCGCAACCCCUAUCCUCAGUUGCCAUCAUUAAGUUGGGCACUCUGUGGAGACUGCCGGUGUUAAACCGGAGGAAGGUGGGGAUGACGUCAAGUCCUCAUGGCCCUUAUGACCAGGGCUACACACGUGCUACAAUGGCCGGUACAAAGAGUUGCGAUACCGCGAGGUGGAGCCAAUCUCAUAAAGCCGGUCUCAGUUCGGAUUAGAGUCUGCAACUCGACUCUAUGAAGUUGGAAUCGCUAGUAAUCGCGAAUCAGAAAUGUCGCCGGUGAACCUACGUUCUCGGCCUU